AUCACCUUGUGGGGCACCAUUCCCGUAAAGGGAAAAAUGAUAGCCAGUUAAAGAUAUCAGUCUCAUAAAAUACGCUAAACUAUUAAUUUGGAGUUUGAUUAAUAAUUAAAUUAAUGACAACAACCAAAAUUAACAGUAACGCCUGAAGGAUUUCGGAGUUCUUGACGCAGCAGAGGUUGACUAUUCAUUCACCCUUGUGCAACAUUAAACAGACAGCAGGUAUGAUUCCAAAGAGUUAUAUUUAUUCACAAAUUAGCAAAGCAAACCAAAACACACAAAUUCUAACUAACUAUAUACAACCUUGGUGUGUGUGUGUGUGUGUGUGUGUGUGUAUGUGUCUGAGAGAAAAGAGAAAGACAAAGGCGGGUGUGGUGAUCAAGUAGCCGUUUGGCCUACAAAACAAAAUGGCUGACAACAGAGAACUACCAAAAUGGCUGAAUCAAGGCUGGCUUCCGGUUGGGGGAGGUGUCUGUCUGACUGUGUGGUCAGGAAAAAGACAAAGGAAAAGAAGCGGGAACUUUGAGAUGCCUGUUUGGGUGUAGCUCUGUUGAAAGCCUAUUUAUUAAUGAGUCUAUGUCAAUGUGACGUGUGUUGCAAACGGUCUGAAUUAGUGCAGAGACUGUUUAGUUGCACGCAAGAAUCUGUUUGUGAACAGUAUUAGCAAACUAAACACUUAGCUGUGGUGAUGCCAACUAAUCAAUGACCUAACUGCAAUCUAUCACAACAAUAACUCAGUAAACAGCAUCAAAGCACGUACAACAAGUCAAACAGUCUUGCUUAGCCUGUAAAGCUGUGAUAAGCUAUGCCCAGUUGUUACGAGAGCACUGCUCUACGGUUGGAGCAAAAGAGGAAGUUCUGUGGAAGGGAGCAGAUCUUGUACAAAAAGCCUGUGACAUCACAGAGUCACAUGUCACUGAAAAAGUUCUGUCCAAUCAAGUUGUGAGACUUGGGUCUCACUGAGGUGUGAGGUGAGACCUCCUGUGGAGAUGGGUGUCACCUAGCUGUCUUUGUUUGGAGAACAAAGAGCAUGCAGAGGAAAAAGCCUUUAAUUCUACAGUUUAGAUUUUACCAAAUGAUAAAUCAUCUGUGGUCCUGUGAAUCCCAACACAUGGCUCAGAAAUGAUAGAGCUUACAAAACCUGAAGCAUAGCAGGUAACAACGAACUCUGCAUAAUGAUAAAAAACA